AACGUAGGAAGCGAGCGUUAUCCGGAUUUACUGGGCGUAAAGCGCGUGUAGGCGGUUGGGUAAGUUGGAUGUGAAAGCUCCUGGCUUAACUGGGAGAGGUCGUUCAAUACUGCUCGACUAGAGGAUGAGAGAGGGAAGUGGAAUUCCGGGUGUAGUGGUGAAAUGCGUAGAUAUCCGGAGGAACACCAGUGGCGAAAGCGGCUUCCUGGCUCAUAUCUGACGCUCAGACGCGAAAGCUAGGGGAGCAAACGGG
rnacentral:rRNA from 1 species